rnacentral:sRNA from 1 species
CUGUUAAAUGGGUACAAUAAAUACAUAUCUCUGAAGGUUGCUGCGAUGAUUAAAUGAAAGAAAUACAUGGCGCAGUACCUGGUACGUAAUAUGUACCCAAUUAAAUAUAACUAUUUUUUAGGAAGUGACAGUAAUAGGAAGAACUCAUUAUGUUUGUUGAAUGAUUCUUACAUGAUACCUCUUAACACAGGUGAUUACAUGGAUCCAACACCUGAUCCCCAAGAUUGAAGAUGGAAAUGAUUUUGGGGUAGCAAUCCAGGAAAAGGUGCUGGAGAGGGUGAAUGCUGUCAAGACCAAAGUGGAAGCUUUCCAGACAACCAUUUCCAAGUGAGGGCAGCUAGAGGACCAGCAUUGGGGGCAGUAGGAGCAUUUCUUUGGGACCCCCCAAAGCUGGGCAGCCCUAUCAGGAUGAUGGGAGACUUUGGGAAGGGUCUGAGGGAGUACAUCUGCCUGAACACUCAUUCCUGUGGUAUUCCCUUGCUUCUG